rnacentral:rRNA from 1 species
UACGGAGGGAGCUAGCGUUGUUCGGAAUGACUGGGCGUAAAGCGCGCGUAGGCGGAUCAGGAAGUUGGGGGGUGAAAUCCCGGGGCUCAACCCCGGAAUGGCCUUCAAAACUCCUGGUCUUGAGUUCGAGAGAGGUGAGUGGAAUUCCGAGUGUAGAGGUGAAAUUCGUAGAUAUUCGGAGGAACACCAGUGGCGAAGGCGGCUCACUGGCUCGACACUGACGCUGAGGUGCGAAAGCGUGGGGAGCAAACAGG